rnacentral:tRNA from 1 species
UCUCCAGUGGCUCAGACGGUAAAGAAUCUGCCUGCAAUGCAGGAGACCUGGGUUCUGUCCCUGGCUUGGGAA